rnacentral:lncRNA from 1 species
GAAAGAGAUUACAGUCCAGUGGAUCUCAAAACAGUGGGAGAAAGAAAACCCCUGGGAGGAAGGGGUUCGUAUUGCUCAGGGCUUCGAGAAGGAUCCCUGCAGGCAGAGCAUGGGAAGCCAGUGCAUGACCAUGAAACGUUGAAUCUGCUGUCACCUCCAGUGAAUCUGCCCCACGGGGAAACUUGUGCAGGGGACAGCUCUGGAGACAGCAGUGAACAGACCAGCUCCAACAGCCAGGUAGCAUCAGUUCUUCUACCAGUGUGGGGGGUUUUUUUGGGGUGUGGUUGUUGGUUUGGUUUUCUUUGGUUUUUAGUCCUGAUGUUGAACUCAUCACCCACACAACACUUUGAUAAACAUGAUGCUCUGCUCUGUCCCCAGUGGAGUGAAGUUGGCCAGCACUAUGGAGGCUCCAGCACCUUCUGCUGCUUCAGCUUGGCCAUGGUGGAGCAGUGUCUGAGGGGAGAAGAGCUGCGAGCUCGACACCAGGCUGCCCUCCUCAAGCUCCGCAAAAAAGCUCUCCAGGAGAAAGCCAGGGCCGAGCUGGCCUGGCUGGACCACCAGAAACGGUGAGGGGGACAUGUUGUGGGCAGGACACCACAAGCCUGCUCUGACUGGGACAGGUCCUUCAGCAGGAGGUGGAGGUGCAGCUGCCUGCUCAAAGGAAGAAAACCUGUCCCUUCUCAGGAGAAGCAAAUAUAAAAUCCUUCUCUUUACAGAGUAAGCAGAAGGAGAGGAAUCUGCCCAGUUCUAUUUUCCCCAGAGCAUGGUCAAGCUCCCUAGUGCAGCCUCCUUCAGGUGUGGUGCGAGCCCCUCCUCAGUGCUGACUGGGCUGAGGUGCUGUUGAGGACAGAGUGAGCCCCCAGUGCAAGGUGUCCCUCGGUGCUGACUGGCCUGGGGCACCAUGAGGUUCAGUUUGAGCCCCCCCAGUGCAUGGCGUCCCUCACCAGCUGGUGCUGUGUACUGAGUGCUCAGGAAAG